CUUGGAGGGGUGAGGGGCCCUGUUAGUCUGACUUUGAAGAAGACCAGCCUUCCAGACUCGCUUGGUGCCCUGACAGCAGCUUGUGUUUCUUCCUUCAAGAGUCUGCUUAGAGAUAAUAAAGAUCAACACUAUUCCUUAUAACAACACCUCAGUAUCCUGCGAGCUGUACACACCAGAGUUUAUUUAACCACCUUGCUGCUGGCAUGAAAGCCUCAGGAGCCCUGGGCUCCCCCAGUGUUGCCUGGGUCUGACUUUGCCUCAGUGAAAACUGCCUCGAAUUCUUUCUUGCACCGAUGGGCAGAUGGGCAGUGUCGGAGGAUCGUGUCAUCUGUCCCGUGGCGCUGGUUGGCUUGGUCAAGUCAGUGUUCAAACUAUCUCCUGCUCUUUCAAGGGGAUCUGGGGCUCUAGAAGAUUAGAGGACUUGGAGAGGUUAGUGACUUGCUCGAGGUCGGCUAGGAAGCAAGACCCAGGAUUCCAACUCAGGUCUGUGUGAUUCCUCUGCAAAAUGGAGAGGUGGAAGGAUGGAUGUCAGGUCUGAUGGAUGGAUGGAUGCCUACAUCAAGAUACAUGCAUAGAUGGAGAGAUGGCUGGCUACCUCAUGAAUGCUGGACUGUUGUGAGAAUCAAACGAGAUAAUGUAUGCUGAGGCAUGCUGUGAACACUACGUGCUGGGUACAGGAGAAUGGAGGCUCCAGAGUGAAAUUAAUGACACUUUGUCGAUGAAGAUCUUGAUUGUGACCUCUGUGGAAAAUGAGCCAUGAACCAACCAAUGAUAAGUCUACUUUUCUUCCACGUAACAACCACAGGAUAGAUGACAUUCAUUUUCUAAGAAACAAAAUCUUGGCAGUUAGAUCCGUGGGGUAAAGAAUAUAGAUACUAAUAAUGAAAACCAUGUAGCUGGUCUUAUUAUUCUCUAAUCAUGAAGACCAUUAUUGUUAUUUGUGGACUAAGGAGCAGAAAGACUGAUAGUGGACAUAGGCCAGCUGAUUUAAUAAUUUAAGAAAGAACUGUUAUCCUGAGUAAGGAGCAUAGAGACAAAUAUAAAAUGAACGCACUCUACCUGAUUUAAUUAUAGUCUUCUGGUGAAGAUCUUGCUGUUAUCUCUGUGAAUCAGGAGAGAAGAGAUUGAUAAGGAAUAGACGAGAUUGGAUUUGGUCAUUUCCCCAAGGUGAAGAGCAUGGCGAUUUCUUCUGUGGUAAGGAGCAAUAAUGAAGACCAUGGUUGAUUUAAUCAGUCUCUGCUGAUGAAGAUCUUGGCUGUUACCUUUGUGUGUAAGGAAGCUAAAGACUUAAGUAAAUAACAGUCCAAAAACUUGUCAAUUAGGAAUGAAUGCGCAAUGAUUCAAUUAUUCUCCAGCGAGGAAGAUCAUGGUUGUUGUCUGUUUGAGUAAUGAGUGUAGAAACCUAUAAUGGAGGCGUGAUGGCUGAUGCAAUCAUUUUCCACUGAUGAAGGUUUUGAUGGCCACCUGUAAUGAACAGCCCCAUCUGAUUUAAUCACUGUGCAAUGACCGUGAACUGUACAGUUACCUCCGUGUGUCACAGGAAGACUCUUUUGACUUAAGCACCCUUCCAUGGUCAUGAGGUUUCUGGUUGCCUCUGUGUGUUAGAAGCUUGGAGACCAAUGCCUUCUGCUGUGAUCGCGUUCUCCACAGUUGCCUCUGGGUAGGAGCCUGGACACUAAUAGAAAAUGGAUGCACUUGAGCCGACCUAAGCAUUCAUGGUCAUGAGAUUUGUGGUUGCCACUGUUGGUUAGGAGCAUAGAGAUCAGUAAUGGACACACCUGGGCUGGCAGAACAUCUUGCCUUGAUCUGGAGCCCCAUGUCUGCCCCUCUGUAGAGGUGCACAUGGGCCAAUGAUGGAUGCAAUGAGCUGAUCAUUUUGCUGUGAUCAAGGCUAUGUUGCCUCUGUGUUAGGCCAAUGGUUGAUGUUCAUGGGUGAUUGAUCAUCCUGUAGCGACGGUGGUAUUGACUGUUCCCCAGAGGACAAGGAGUGUGUUCUUAUAAUGGACAUCAUGAUUGGGAUUGUCUUUAUUAAACUUUGUCAGGAGAGUAAAGAUCAAUGUGGCCACAUGUUGUGGCUCAUGCCUGUAAUCCCAACACUGUAAUCCCAGCACUGUAAUCCCAGCCUGUAAUCCCAGGCUGAGGUGGGCGGAUCACCUGAGGUUGGGAGUUCGAGACCAGCCUGACCAACAUGGAGAAACCCCGUCUCUACUAAAAAUACAAAAUUAGCCGGGCAUGGUGGCGCAUGUCUUUAAUUCCAGCUACUCAGGAGGCUGAGGCAGGAGAAACGCUUGAACCCGAGAGGCGGAGGUUGCAGUGAGCUGAGAUUGCGCCAUUGCACUCCAGCCUGGGCAACAAGAGUGAAACUCCAUCUCAAAAGAAAAAAAAAAGAAAACAAAACAAAAAAAGAAAAAACCAAUGUAAGUACCUGUUAAAGUUCUUGCUAUGGUUCCAGUGGUUUGCUUCCUAACUGUGUUAUUUAGAAAUUUGAAGUAUAUUUAAUGAAUGUCCUCCCUUCCCACUGGCCCUGCCAGGCAUGCUGCCAUCUGUUCUCUGGGACUUGUGAGUAGUACACUGCUCCUGUUAUUUCAUGUGCUUUGCUAAGUUGUUUCUUCUGUGUCUCAACUGAUCAACACACCCAGACCUAACUGAUUUCCAGGUUGGGGCUCUCCUAGAGAGUGCCUCUCUUGGUAGGAAUAAACUGGACACAGACAAGAGCCUCCAUGGUGUCUGCCUGUAUAACCAAGUUUUCUAUGAGAGGGACAAUGGGUCAUAGAUUGAACACUUGGGCAUUACAUCUGUGAGAAUAAGUCUAUAGUAAAUUUCAGUAAAUUUGAGGGAUCUAAUUAUGGGGUUUCAGUAGAUCCUGGGGAUUUAUUGCAUUAUUCGAAGGAAAUAAAUGAAAGAAUCAGCAAAACAUACAGACACACAUAUAAAUAAUUAAAGAUGAAGAGGAUAAAGCUGGAUUAAUUGAGGAAAAUGCUAUCAGACAGGAAUUUUUGGUUCUGUAAUUCUGAAACACUGCAAUGCAUUAAGAAACCUGUACAUCAAGGGUGUCACCUGUCUAGGGUAGGGUAAUAUAGAGUAGUUGUUCUCAAAUGCGAGCAUUGGAGUGACCUGGAGGGCUUGUAAAAUACAGAAGGUCACCUACAUUCUCAGGAUUUCUGAUUCAGUAGGUUUGGUGUGGGGUCUGAGAAUCUAAAUUUCUAAUAACUUAAUUUCUGUAGGUUCCAAUAGUUUCCCAAAUCAUGCUGAUGCUGCCUCCUGAGAAAUAUUUUCAGAAUCACUGAGAAAAAUGUAUGAAAUAGUUAAUGUCCUUGCUCUGUGUCAGUGGUGGAGGCUGUCUGCAGUAGGAGCAUGGAGACCAACAAUGGAUGCUCUUAAACUGAUUUAAGCACGCUUCCAUGGUCAGAAGCCUUAUGGUUGCCACAGGGUAUUAGGAGCAUGGAGACCAAUAAUGGAUGUCCUUGUUCUGAUUUGAGGAUGCCUCCAAGGUCACAUACUCUGUUUGCACCACGCUUAGGAAGGAGCGUGAAGACCAAGGGGAGUAAUAGUCAAAGUCCUUACCUUUGUUUGGGUGGUUUGUUUAAGAGUAAUCAACGUAUUAUUUAAAAGUGUGAAAUACAGUCAAAGAUGGCCAAUGUUAUUCCAGUGAUAUGGGAGUGACAUGAAGUAUUAUAUUGAUGAUGCAUAUAUAAAAAACAGGAUAGUUAAUGAAACACCCAAUGUUUGAGUGAUUCUGUAUACUGAUAGGGAAUAUCAAGAGUGUUACUGGGUUUUGUGAAUCACGGGCCUUGAAAGUAUUAUUAAUGAAUAAAUGACAUAAUCAAUAGACAAGGUAGAAAUGAAUAGCAAAAAAAAAGAA
rnacentral:lncRNA from 1 species